AGCAGCUCAGUUUCUCACUCCGAAGUGGCAGCAGCCAGAGAGGGAGUCGGUGUGGACGCGAGGAGCCGGGCGCUUAGAACAGAGGCUUGCACAGGUGGAGAUGUGGAAGUCUGUAGUGGGCCAUGAUGUGUCUGUUUCCGUGGAGACCCAGGGUGAUGAUUGGGACACAGAUCCUGACUUUGUGAAUGACAUCUCUGAAAAGGAGCAACGAUGGGGAGCCAAGACCAUCGAGGGGUCUGGACGCACAGAACACAUCAAGUAGGUGCCGAAAGGACUGGAGAAAAGGAAGGGGGUUAUGGGAAGAGCCCAAAGAAAACUCGGAGACUUGGGGGAAGGUGAGGGAGGAAAAGGAUAGGGUAGUUCAUGUCUAUGUAUUAUUGUGUUUGUUUUUUUUCUAGAGUCUGUUCCUGUGUGUACCUGUGUGUCAUUGCAUAUUUCCAUUUUAUGUCUCUCCUCUUACCCUCCUCAACCCUAUUAUCUAUCUUUUAUACCUAACAACUCUGCUAUUUCCCCAAGUGGGUCUAUUGGAUUAACUGCCUCCCUUCCUUUAGUAAGGCAUGAGAGAUUCAUAGAGGAAGUGGACCAAAUACUAAGGUCCUCUCUAUCUAUCUACCUGGCAAUCAUCUAUCUCCUAUCUAUCUCUUCA
rnacentral:lncRNA from 1 species